ACGAGCGGCGAACGGGUGAGUAACACGUGGGUGAUCUGCCCUGCACUCUGGGAUAAGCUUGGGAAACUGGGUCUAAUACCGGAUAUGACUGCAUGCCGCAUGGUGUGUGGUGGAAAGAUUUAUCGGUGCAGGAUGGGCCCGCGGCCUAUCAGCUUGUUGGUGGGGUAAUGGCCUACCAAGGCGACGACGGGUAGCCGACCUGAGAGGGUGACCGGCCACACUGGGACUGAGGCACGGCCCAGACUCCUACGGGAGGCAGCAGUGGGGAAUAUUGCACAAUGGGCGGAAGCCUGAUGCAGCGACGCCGCGUGAGGGAUGAAGGCCUUCGGGUUGUAAACCUCUUUCAGCAGGGACGAAGCGUGAGUGACGGUACCUGCAGAAGAAGCACCGGCUAACUACGUGCCAGCAGCCGCGGUAAUACGUAGGGUGCGAGCGUUGUCCGGAAUUACUGGGCGUAAAGAGUUCGUAGGCGGUUUGUCGCGUCGUUUGUGAAAACCCGGGGCUCAACUUCGGGCUUGCAGGCGAUACGGGCAGACUUGAGUGUUUCAGGGGAGACUGGAAUUCCUGGUGUAGCGGUGAAAUGCGCAGAUAUCAGGAGGAACACCGGUGGCGAAGGCGGGUCUCUGGGAAACAACUGACGCUGAGGAACGAAAGCGUGGGUAGCAAACAGGAUUAGAUACCCUGGUAGUCCACGCCGUAAACGGUGGGCGCUAGGUGUGGGUUCCUUCCACGGGAUCUGUGCCGUAGCUAACGCAUUAAGCGCCCCGCCUGGGGAGUACGGCCGCAAGGCUAAAACUCAAAGGAAUUGACGGGGGCC
rnacentral:rRNA from 1 species